GUGAAUCAUCGAAUUUUUGAACGCAUAUUGCACUCUCUGGUAUUCCGGAGAGUAUGCCUGUUUGAGGGUAAUUAAAAAGAAUCUUUAACCAAUUUUUUCUGGUCAAAGGACAUGAGCUCUCCGCGUUUAUAGAGGUAGCUUGAAAUAAAUGGUUAAGUCUCAUUUUAGUCGAGACGCGUAAUAAUAUUAUUUCGCGUAUUCUUUAUUCUGUGAUUAUCAAGUUUUGAUGCCUACUAAUUUGGUUUGUAUCGGAU
rnacentral:misc_RNA from 1 species